UUAUUAAGUUUUGUGUGUUUAAUUUCAUUUAAUACUUUAUAUACAGUCCAGUCAGUUGCAACAACAAUUAAAGCAGCAGGAAACAGCCAAGUACAUAUGCAAGUGAUUGUUAUGAGGAUUGCAAAAGUUUUAAAUAUCAGAAACUAAAGAAGACAUUGAUAAUCAGCAGAUAUCAAAAAAGCGCAAAAGUACUAAUUAUACAACUCUUUUAAAGUUGAGGAAGAAUUUUAUGUUAAUGUUAAUGCAAAAGGUACGAAUAUUGACAGGUUAGCCAAUUUGAUGUUACAAUAAACAUGAAAUAAAGUUUGUGAAGACCUUAGUGCCAAAAAUACUUGCAUGCAUUAUUCAUGCAUGCUAUAUUAUAGUAUAGCAUGCAUGCAUGAUGCAUUCAAGUAUAAAAAAAAAGUUACAAAUGUUUAAUUAUACAAAAAGAAUAUGGAUGUGGUACUGCAAGUAUAUUCAACUGAUUAUGUAAGUAAGUUGUCCUACUUUACAUCUUUGAAGACUAAUAAUAACUGUAAUGAACAUAUCUCAGACAAUAUACACUCGGAUUUAUAUUUUAGUUAAACCAUCACCUCUUCCACACCCACCUUGUCUCAAGCAUUAAAUCGCAUUCUAAGAUAUCUUUAUUCAAAUUAAGUGUGACUACUUUACUAAAAGACUCUAGAAUGGACCAAUCAACUAACCCAUCAGUACUUGCAAAGUCUCCUUUUCUGGUAGCUAUAAUUUAGAUUUUAUCAAUGUUUAAUGUUUUUAUAUGAUAUAUAAUAC